rnacentral:rRNA from 1 species
GACGAACGCUGGCGGCGUGCUUAACACAUGCAAGUCGAGCGGAGCGGAGAACGGGUGAGUAACGCGUGAGUAACUGCCCCCCUCUCUGGGAUAACAGUUGGAAACGGCUGCUAAUACCGGAUAGUGGGGGAUGACUCGCGUCCUAUCAGCUUGUGGGGGGGGUAGUGGCCUACCAAGGCGACGACUGGUAGCCGGCCUGAGAGGGCGACCGGCCACAUUGGGCUAAGAUACGGCCCAAUCUCCAACGGGAGGCAGUGGGGGGGAAUAUUGCACAAUUGGGGAACUCCUGAUGCAGCCACGCGCGUGCGUGAUGACGGCCUUCGGGGUGGAAACCGCUUUCAGCCAUGACGCGUUAGUGGCAGAAGAAGCACCGGCUAACUACGUGCCAGCAGCCGCGGUAAUAC